GCAGCCGCAGCGACCGGCGCAGCCGCGGCCACCGGCGCAGCCGCAA
rnacentral:misc_RNA from 1 species